rnacentral:rRNA from 1 species
UACGUAGGGAGCAAGCGUUAUCCGGAUUUACUGGGUGUAAAGGGUGCGUAGGCGGCUUUUUAAGUCAGCGGUGAAAUUUUGCAGCUUAACUGUAACAGUGCCGUUGAUACUGGGGAGCUAGGAUUUGGUUGCUGUGGGUGGAAUGUGUGGUGUAGCGGUGAAAUGCUUAGAGAUCACACAGAAUAUCGAUUGCGAAGGCAGCUCACAAAGCCAAGAUUGACGCUGAGGCACGAAAGUGUGGGGAUCAAACAGGAUUA